UACGGGGGGAGCAAGCGUUGUUCGGAUUUACUGGGCGUAAAGGGCGCGUAGGCGGCGUGACAAGUCACUUGUGAAAUCUCCGGGCUUAACCCGGAGCGGCCAAGUGAUACUGUCGUGCUAGAGUGCGGAAGGGGCUACUGGAAUUCUCGGUGUAGCGGUGAGAUGCGUAGAUAUCAGGAGGAACACCGGUGGCGAAGGCGGGUCUCUGGGCAGUAACUGACGCUGAGGAGCGAAAGCGUGGGGAGCGAACAGG
rnacentral:rRNA from 1 species